rfam:Chelonia mydas contig258333, whole genome shotgun sequence.
CCAAAGGUCCUUUUAAGGGCCACCCACUUUUGCACAGGAAGAGCUG